rnacentral:lncRNA from 1 species
GUCUUCUUCUUGUAUCCCCUUUGCUCCCUGGGUGUUAGGCACCUUGUUGUGACAAGCUCUAUACAUGCCGGCUAUGUCACGACACCCACGAAGAUCAUCAGCUGGACCGCUUCAAAGUAAAGGAAGUGCAGUGCAUCAACUGUGAAAAACUCCAGCAUGCCCAGCAGACUUGUGAGGACUGCAGCACACUGUUUGGAGAAUAUUACUGCAGUAUUUGCCACCUGUUUGACAAAGACAAGAAGCAGUAUCACUGUGAGAGCUGUGGGAUUUGUAGGAUUGGUCCAAAGGAAGAUUUUUUUCAUUGCUUGAAAUGUAACUUAUGCCUAGCCAUGACUCUUCGAGGAAAACACAAGUGUAUUGAAAAUGUUUCCCGGCAGAAUUGUCCAAUAUGCUUGGAGGACAUUCAUACCUCCCGUGUCGUUGCUCAUGUCUUGCCAUGCGGGCAUCUCCUACAUAGAACGUGUUAUGAAGAAAUGUUGAAAGAAGGUUACAGAUGCCCAUUGUGUAUGCAUUCUGCCCUAGACAUGACUCGGUACUGGAGACAAUUAGACAUUGAGGUAGCACAGACUCCUAUGCCAUCCGAAUACCAGAACGUGACCGUUGAUAUUCUCUGCAAUGACUGUAAUGGACGAUCCACAGUCCAGUUCCAUAUCUUAGGCAUGAAAUGUAAGCUUUGUGACUCCUACAAUACUGCUCAGGCUGGAGGCCGCACAGUGUCCAUGGAUGAGCAGUGAGAAGCCUGUCCUUGGCUGGAGAACAGCUCUGGGAUGUAGAUGAAGCUCUGUGUGGAAGACCCCGAUGUCCGGAUGUGUCCUAACUAUGCGUAGAGAUGUUUGUACCUGUCAACAGAUCAUACCUAUACACCAAGGACUCAAGAUCUCAGAUGGAAUCAGAAUAUCACUCACUGGAUGAAGCCUCUGAGCGUGUGUUGAUUGGAAAGUCACUUAGUGUCAAGUUUUGAAGCCAAUGAUGUUUGUCCCAGAUAUAGUCACAGUCAUCGAAAUAUUUUAUAUUUUCAUGGAACUUUAAGUGACACUAUGCACGCAGACUUAAUUUCUAGUUCUUGAUAGAACUACAUUCAAUUUUAACUAGUCUUUGAUUUUAAGGGCUGUACUAUAAUUUUUAAG